CACUGUCCCUCCCUCUUACCUGGUCACAGCUGGUCAGGGAACUGAGUUAGGAAAGAGCAAAGAGGAAUAACUAUGACAGUGACAGGGGCCUUGAGCCCAAAGUGUGUUUAUGAGACGUGACCAAAACCUCGGGCGAGUGCUGCUGCCCAGCGCCAUCCAGGAGAAAGGCAGCUCAUAAAAACACUGCCUCUGCCACCUUAGUCCCUGCAUCUGGCACCGUGUGACUUCCGGCUCUUCCCCAAAGUCCAAAUGACCAUGACGGGGAAACGUUUUGAAUCCAUUGAGGACACGGAGGCAGCCAGGACAGCGCAACUAAAGACGCCCAGGAAAGGACUCCGGAGCUGCUGCAGGAAGUGGCCAGGACCACGGGAGGAGCGGGUGUGAAGCGAGGGGGAAGACUUUGAGGAGAGCUCACGGCCAUGAGUCUUUACUGUGACGCACUUUAUCAAACGUUCACCGUAAAGCAAUCGCGAACCGAGGAACCCUAUCUACCUGCUGCAGGGCUCCUGUACACGCCUUGCCUGCCUCCCACUCCUGUCCACAAGACCCGCAAAGCCACAAUCUCACUUCUUCUGGGACCCAACCACUGUGCCUCCAAGCCCGUCUUCUCGCUUAUGCUGCUGGAUUCAUUGAAAUCCGUGGGAGGAAAAAUUUAGAAAUACGAUUGGCUCUACUUUCCGGGAAUCCUCCCUGUCUUUAUUUCUUCAUCAUUAAACUAUUACCAAUCGCUUCUGUUGUUGAUGGUGCACAUGAAUCCAUUUGUUAAAGCAGGGUUUUUUUUUUUUUUUUGGUACCAGGGAUCGAAUUUGGGACUUUCCACUUGGGAGGCAGGUGGUGGCACUGCUGAGCUAAAUCCCUG
rnacentral:lncRNA from 1 species